GUGGAGUGUCAGCACACUGCCACAUGGACUGCAGCAGGAUUCCAGCAGUUGCGGAGUCUUGAUUUUGAAGUUUGCAGAAAGCUACUUGCAGAUGGGAAGUCUGCUGUCAGUCAACACCGGACCUGCUGAAAUUUUCCAGGCCAGACUAGACAUCGCUACCACGCUGCUGCCAUACCAAGAUAAGGUGGAAGACUUUUGUGUGUUCUGCAACAUGCUGCACUAUGACGCUAACCAGGAUGUCAUCAAUAUGAUACAAUGUGACUUCUGUUCAAGAUGGACUCAUGAA